rnacentral:rRNA from 1 species
CCGGAGCUUGCUCCACCGAAAGAAAAGGAGUGGCGAACGGGUGAGUAACACGUGGGUAACCUGCCCAUCAGAAGGGGAUAACACUUGGAAACAGGUGCUAAUACCGUAUAACAAUCGAAACCGCAUGGUUUUGAUUUGAAAGGCGCUUUCGGGUGUCACUGAUGGAUGGACCCGCGGUGCAUUAGCUAGUUGGUGAGGUAACGGCUCACCAAGGCCACGAUGCAUAGCCGACCUGAGAGGGUGAUCGGCCACAUUGGGACUGAGACACGGCCCAAACUCCUACGGGAGGCAGCAGUAGGGAAUCUUCGGCAAUGGACGAAAGUCUGACCGAGCAACGCCGCGUGAGUGAAGAAGGUUUUCGGAUCGUAAAACUCUGUUGUUAGAGAAGAACAAGGAUGAGAGUAACUGUUCAUCCCUUGACGGUAUCUAACCAGAAAGCCACGGCUAACUACGUGCCAGCAGCCGCGGUAAUACGUAGGUGGCAAGCGUUGUCCGGAUUUAUUGGGCGUAAAGCGAGCGCAGGCGGUUUCUUAAGUCUGAUGUGAAAGCCCCCGGCUCAACCGGGGAGGGUCAUUGGAAACUGGGAGACUUGAGUGCAGAAGAGGAGAGUGGAAUUCCAUGUGUAGCGGUGAAAUGCGUAGAUAUAUGGAGGAACACCAGUGGCGAAGGCGACUCUCUGGUCUGUAACUGACGCUGAGGCUCGAAAGCGUGGGGAGCAAACAGGAUUAGAUACCCUGGUAGUCCACGCCGUAAACGAUGAGUGCUAAGUGUUGGAGGGUUUCCGCCCUUCAGUGCUGCAGCUAACGCAUUAAGCACUCCGCCUGGGGAGUACGACCGCAAGGUUGAAACUCAAAGGAAUUGACGGGGGCCCGCACAAGCGGUGGAGCAUGUGGUUUAAUUCGAAGCAACGCGAAGAACCUUACCAGGUCUUGACAUCCUUUGACCACUCUAGAGAUAGAGCUUCCCCUUCGGGGGCAAAGUGACAGGUGGUGCAUGGUUGUCGUCAGCUCGUGUCGUGAGAUGUUGGGUUAAGUCCCGCAACGAGCGCAACCCUUAUUGUUAGUUGCCAUCAUUUAGUUGGGCACUCUAGCAAGACUGCCGGUGACAAACCGGAGGAAGGUGGGGAUGACGUCAAAUCAUCAUGCCCCUUAUGACCUGGGCUACACACGUGCUACAAUGGGAAGUACAACGAGUCGCGAAGUCGCGAGGCUAAGCUAAUCUCUUAAAGCUUCUCUCAGUUCGGAUUGUAGGCUGCAACUCGCCUACAUGAAGCCGGAAUCGCUAGUAAUCGCGGAUCAGCACGCCGCGGUGAAUACGUUCCCGGGCCUUGUACACACCGCCCGUCACACCACGAAAGUUUGUAACACCCGAAGUCGGUGAGGUAACCUUUUUGGAGCCAGCCGCCUAAGGUGGGAUAGAUGAUUGGGG